UACGGAGGGGACUAGCGUUGUUCGGAAUUACUGGGCGUAAAGCGCACGUAGGCUGAUUUGUAAGUCAGGGGUGAAAUCCUGGGGCUCAACCUCGGAACUGCCUUUGAUACUGCAAAUCUCGAGUCCGGAAGAGGUGAGUGGAAUUCCUAGUGUAGAGGUGAAAUUCGUAGAUAUUAGGAAGAACACCAGUGGCGAAGGCGGCUCACUGGUCCGGUACUGACGCUGAGGUGCGAAAGCGUGGGGAGCAAACAGG
rnacentral:rRNA from 1 species